rnacentral:rRNA from 1 species
UACGUAGGCAGCAAGCGUUGUUCGGAGUUACUGGGCGUAAAGGGUGCGUAGGCGGCUCUGUAAGUAUGGUGUCGAAAUCUCCCGGCUUAACUGGGAGGGUGCGCUAUAGACUGCGGGCUCGAGUGUGGGAGAGGAAAGUGGAAUCCUGGUGUAGCGGUGAAAUGCGUAGAUAUCAGGAGGAACACCGGUGGUGUAAACGGCUUUCUGGACCAUGAACUGACGCUGAGGCACGAAAGCGUGGGUAGCAAACAGG